rnacentral:rRNA from 1 species
AUUGAACGCUGGCGGAAUGCUUUACUCAUGCAAGUCGAGCGGCAGCGCGGGGCAACCUGGCGGCGAGCGGCGAACGGGUGAGUAAUGCAUCGGAACAUGUCCAGUCGUGGGGGAUAGCCCGCCGAAAGGCGGAUUAAUACCGCAUACGCCCGGGAGGGGAAAGCGGGGGACCGCAAGGCCUCGCGCUGUUGGGUUGGCCGAUGUCCGAUGAGCUAGGUGGUGGGGUAAAGGCCCACCAAGGCGAUGAUCGGUAGCUGGUCUGAGAGGAUGAUGAGACACACUGGGACUGAGACACGGCCCAGACUCCUACGGGAGGCAGCAGUGGGGAAUUUUGGACAAUGGGGGCAAACCCGAUCCAGCCAUUCCGCGUGAGUGAAGAAGGCCUUCGGGUUGUAAAGCUCUUUUGUCCGGAGCGAAACGGGGGAGGUGAACAGCCGCUCUCACUGACGGUACCGGAAGAAUAAGCACCGGCUAACUACGUGCCAGCAGCCGCCGUAAAAC